ensembl:lncRNA
GGGAGUGAGUGGGGCUGGCUCACAGCUGAGGGCAUGGAGCAAAUGUGACUGGAAGCAGGGUUGCGCGCCGUGGGAGGGCAGGGCAGGGAGCAAGGGGACGUCGGAAAUGCCCCCUCCGGGUCCAGCCAUCCAAAGAGACGGAUCAGCAACAGAGAACCUGUAAGACUGAGCAAGCAAGUUUGGGAGGCAGACUGGAAAGAUUGCCAGCAUCUGGGGAGACUUAAGUAAUGGGAGCUUUUCAGAGGAUGUCCAGGGCAAAGGAUGUUGGUGGGGCAGAGCUGCAGAGGGUGCCAAGCACAUUCCUGCCAUCCGUGAGACAGAGCUAACAAAUGUCUCUCUUCCACAGAUCUUGCGAAGACCAAAGCAGUCCAGCAGCUCAGAAGAAAUCAUUGAAGAAAGUUGCAGGUACAAGCCCUUAGAAGCAAAGCACCCAGAAGCUGGGGGAUGGAUGCUCAGGACUGCUUCAGCCCCUCCCAAUCACGGAGUGGAUUUCAGCCUUCUCCACAGAGUGCCUCUACCCAUCCACUCUUCUGACCUGCCCACCACUCUCCUCCUCGCCUCCCAAGGACACUAAGGUUCAAAAGAAGUCAGCAAAUUGCCCACUAUUAUACAGCUGAAGGUGGCAGGACGAGGGCUUGAUCCCAAUACAUUGAAGAUGAUAAUAUCAUCCAAGAAAAUCAUAGGCAUUAGAGUGUUUGUUGCACAGCAGUUACUGGAGAGAAAGAUGUUCUUUAUUUUGUUUUCAACUUCACAUCUCAGCAGCUUUGCAGAGUGCCUGGUACCUAAAACCUCUCUGUCAUAUCAUAAGAAAAGAAUGUGUGCAUCUUGACCUUCCUUCCCACUGCGGUCCAUCCAGAGCUCCUGGAAAUGAACACCUUUGACAACGGAUCUGUGACACCUGACCCUAAAGACCAGUUGGGCUGAAUAUCUGCCCAACAGAAACAUUUGAGCACAAAAUACAGCUAUUGUCUUAAUGUGUUUCAUCAGUGGGGACUAGUUUGAACAUUCUGUCCUAUAAUUGUUUUCCGGGUUUAGCUUUUUGUCCACUGUGAAGGCAUGAAGCAAGCAUUUUGAGUUCUCAAUCUGGUAAAACACUGAUUGCUACAUUCACUAAAUUGAAUGUGAUGGUUAAUUUUGUGUGUCAACUUGACUAGGGUAGGGAAUACCCAGAUAUUUGCUCAAAUAUUUUUCUGGGUGUUUCUGUGAGGGUACUUUAGUGAGACUAGCAUUUAAAUUGAUAGCCUGAGUAAAGCAGAUUGCUCUCCUAACGUGGGUGAGCCUCACCAAUCGACUGAAGGCCUGAAUAGAACAAGAAGGCUGAGACCUCCUCCAAGUAAGAGAGAAUUCUUCCAGCCUGAUGGCCAUUGAACAGAGACAUUGGCUUUUUUCCUGCUUUUAGAUUGGAACUGAAACAUCAGGUCUUCCUGUGGCUUGAGCCUGCCAGCCUUCAACUAGAACUACACUGUUGGCUCUUUGGGGUCUCCAUCUUGCGGAUUCACCCUGUAGAUCUUGGGAUUUGCCAACCUAACAUAACCAUGUGAUCCAAUUUCUUAUAAUGGAUCUGUAUCUAUAUCCAUAUCCAUAUCCGUAUCUGUAUCCGUAUCUGUAUCCAUAUCUGUAUCUGUAUCUAUAUCUGUAUCUGUCUAUACACAUAUCCUAUUGCUUCUAUUUCUCUGAAGAACCUUGACUAAUAAAAUGGACAAUCGGAAUUUCUGGUGUGGUUUAGGGUAGACAAAAAAGAUCUCCUGAUGGGUAAAGUGGCAGUGAUGAUAACAAUACGUGG